GAGUAGGGGAAGGACACGAUGAUCCACAGACCAGGUGCAGCAGAAGACAUGGUCGCCUCUCGCUUAAAGGCAAUCCCAAAGACGAGCUCUCUCACCCCUUACCUGCCAACUUGCCUUGCAAGGAGGGAUAACUGAGCUCAUGAAGAUCCUGUGGAUUUUGAAGGAUUUUCCUUGAGGAAGAGGCUCCAGAAGAGACUGAAAGAUCUGAGAUUUUCUUCUUAGCUUUUGUCAAGAUCAUCAGGAACA